UACGAAGGGGGCUAGCGUUGUUCGGAAUUACUGGGCGUAAAGCGCACGUAGGCGGACUAUUAAGUCAGGGGUGAAAUCCCGGAGCCUCAACUCCGGAACUGCCUUUGAUACUGGGUGUCUUGAGUGUGGAAGAGGUGAGUGGAAUUCCGAGUGUAGAGGUGAAAUUCGUAGAUAUUCGGAGGAACACCAGUGGCGAAGGCGGCUCACUGGUCCAUUACUGACGCUGAGGUGCGAAAGCGUGGGGAGCAAACAGG
rnacentral:rRNA from 1 species